rnacentral:misc_RNA from 1 species
GAAUUGAAUCACUCAACCAAACCCGGCUGUCUGGAAUACCAUCACACCAUGCACUGCCCUGAUCGACCCAAUUUGCUGUCCUAUUAGCUAUCCUCCUAAACGAACGCUAUACUAAGGCCACCAAGAGUCUGGAGGUUGGUUUCAACAGUACUGCACAAUCGUACCUGAUAAUUCCAGGCUAUCCUCUCACCCUGGUGACAUC